rnacentral:rRNA from 1 species
GGGUUGUGAGGUUAAGCGACUAAGCGUACACGGUGGAUGCCCUGGCAGUCAGAGGCGAUGAAGGACGUGCUAAUCUGCGAUAAGCGUCGGUAAGGUGAUAUGAACCGUUAUAACCGGCGAUUUCCGAAUGGGGAAACCCAGUGUGUUUCGACACACUAUCAUUAACUGAAUCCAUAGGUUAAUGAGGCGAACCGGGGGAACUGAAACAUCUAAGUACCCCGAGGAAAAGAAAUCAACCGAGAUUCCCCCAGUAGCGGCGAGCGAACGGGGAGCAGCCCAGAGCCUGAAUCAGUGUGUGUGUUAGUGGAAGCGUCUGGAAAGGCGCGCGAUACAGGGUGACAGCCCCGUACACAAAAAUGCACAUAUUGUGAGCUCGAUGAGUAGGGCGGGACACGUGGUAUCCUGUCUGAAUAUGGGGGGACCAUCCUCCAAGGCUAAAUACUCCUGACUGACCGAUAGUGAACCAGUACCGUGAGGGAAAGGCGAAAAGAACCCCGGCGAGGGGAGUGAAAAAGAACCUGAAACCGUGUACGUACAAGCAGUGGGAGCACGCUUAGGCGUGUGACUGCGUACCUUUUGUAUAAUGGGUCAGCGACUUAUAUUCUGUAGCAAGGUUAACCGAAUAGGGGAGCCGAAGGGAAACCGAGUCUUAACUGGGCGUUAAGUUGCAGGGUAUAGACCCGAAACCCGGUGAUCUAGCCAUGGGCAGGUUGAAGGUUGGGUAACACUAACUGGAGGACCGAACCGACUAAUGUUGAAAAAUUAGCGGAUGACUUGUGGCUGGGGGUGAAAGGCCAAUCAAACCGGGAGAUAGCUGGUUCUCCCCGAAAGCUAUUUAGGUAGCGCCUCGUGAAUUCAUCUCCGGGGGUAGAGCACUGUUUCGGCAAGGGGGUCAUCCCGACUUACCAACCCGAUGCAAACUGCGAAUACCGGAGAAUGUUAUCACGGGAGACACACGGCGGGUGCUAACGUCCGUCGUGAAGAGGGAAACAACCCAGACCGCCAGCUAAGGUCCCAAAGUCAUGGUUAAGUGGGAAACGAUGUGGGAAGGCCCAGACAGCCAGGAUGUUGGCUUAGAAGCAGCCAUCAUUUAAAGAAAGCGUAAUAGCUCACUGGUCGAGUCGGCCUGCGCGGAAGAUGUAACGGGGCUAAACCAUGCACCGAAGCUGCGGCAGCGACACUGUGUGUUGUUGGGUAGGGGAGCGUUCUGUAAGCCUGUGAAGGUGUGCUGUGAGGCAUGCUGGAGGUAUCAGAAGUGCGAAUGCUGACAUAAGUAACGAUAAAGCGGGUGAAAAGCCCGCUCGCCGGAAGACCAAGGGUUCCUGUCCAACGUUAAUCGGGGCAGGGUGAGUCGACCCCUAAGGCGAGGCCGAAAGGCGUAGUCGAUGGGAAACAGGUUAAUAUUCCUGUACUUGGUGUUACUGCGAAGGGGGGACGGAGAAGGCUAUGUUGGCCGGGCGACGGUUGUCCCGGUUUAAGCGUGUAGGCUGGUUUUCCAGGCAAAUCCGGAAAAUCAAGGCUGAGGCGUGAUGACGAGGCACUACGGUGCUGAAGCAACAAAUGCCCUGCUUCCAGGAAAAGCCUCUAAGCAUCAGGUAACAUCAAAUCGUACCCCAAACCGACACAGGUGGUCAGGUAGAGAAUACCAAGGCGCUUGAGAGAACUCGGGUGAAGGAACUAGGCAAAAUGGUGCCGUAACUUCGGGAGAAGGCACGCUGAUAUGUAGGUGAAGCGACUUGCUCGUGGAGCUGAAAUCAGUCGAAGAUACCAGCUGGCUGCAACUGUUUAUUAAAAACACAGCACUGUGCAAACACGAAAGUGGACGUAUACGGUGUGACGCCUGCCCGGUGCCGGAAGGUUAAUUGAUGGGGUCAGCGCAAGCGAAGCUCUUGAUCGAAGCCCCGGUAAACGGCGGCCGUAACUAUAACGGUCCUAAGGUAGCGAAAUUCCUUGUCGGGUAAGUUCCGACCUGCACGAAUGGCGUAAUGAUGGCCAGGCUGUCUCCACCCGAGACUCAGUGAAAUUGAACUCGCUGUGAAGAUGCAGUGUACCCGCGGCAAGACGGAAAGACCCCGUGAACCUUUACUAUAGCUUGACACUGAACAUUGAGCCUUGAUGUGUAGGAUAGGUGGGAGGCUUAGAAGUGUGGACGCCAGUCUGCAUGGAGCCGACCUUGAAAUACCACCCUUUAAUGUUUGAUGUUCUAACGUUGACCCGUAAUCCGGGUUGCGGACAGUGUCUGGUGGGUAGUUUGACUGGGGCGGUCUCCUCCUAAAGAGUAACGGAGGAGCACGAAGGUUGGCUAAUCCUGGUCGGACAUCAGGAGGUUAGUGCAAUGGCAUAAGCCAGCUUGACUGCGAGCGUGACGGCGCGAGCAGGUGCGAAAGCAGGUCAUAGUGAUCCGGUGGUUCUGAAUGGAAGGGCCAUCGCUCAACGGAUAAAAGGUACUCCGGGGAUAACAGGCUGAUACCGCCCAAGAGUUCAUAUCGACGGCGGUGUUUGGCACCUCGAUGUCGGCUCAUCACAUCCUGGGGCUGAAGUAGGUCCCAAGGGUAUGGCUGUUCGCCAUUUAAAGUGGUACGCGAGCUGGGUUUAGAACGUCGUGAGACAGUUCGGUCCCUAUCUGCCGUGGGCGCUGGAGAACUGAGGGGGGCUGCUCCUAGUACGAGAGGACCGGAGUGGACGCAUCACUGGUGUUCGGGUUGUCAUGCCAAUGGCACUGCCCGGUAGCUAAAUGCGGAAGAGAUAAGUGCUGAAAGCAUCUAAGCACGAAACUUGCCCCGAGAUGAGUUCUCCCUGACCCUUUAAGGGUCCUGAAGGAACGUUGAAGACGACGACGUUGAUAGGCCGGGUGUGUAAGCGCAGCGAUGCGUUGAGCUAACCGGUACUAAUGAACCGUGAGGCUUAACCUUACAACGCCGAAGGUGUUU